UACGUAGGUCCCGAGCGUUGUCCGGAUUUAUUGGGUUUAAAGGGUGCGCAGGCGGAUUUUUAAGUCAGCGGUCAAAUCGUGGGGCUCAACCCCAUCCAGCCGUUGAAACUGGGGAUCUAGAGUGUGCGAGAGGUAUGCGGAAUGCGUGGUGUAGCGGUGAAAUGCAUAGAUAUCACGCAGAACCCCGAUUGCGAAGGCAGCAUACCGGUGCACAACUGACGCUCAGGCACGAAAGCGUGGGUAUCGAACAGG
rnacentral:rRNA from 1 species